rnacentral:sRNA from 1 species
CUUGGUCAUUUAGAGGAAGUAAAAGUCGUAACAAGGUUUCCGUAGGUGAACCUGCGGAAGGAUCAUUACAGAGUAAACUUGGUGGGUUGUUGCUGGCUCUCAAUUGAGCAUGUGCACGCCUGUCAUCUUUAUCUUUCCACCAUGUGCACUUUUUGUAGGUCUGGAUUGGACAAUAAGCCUAGCCCCUUGUGGGUUAUUGGAAAGUUGCUGAUUACAUCGGCUCUUUCUGUUACUGGCUGUUUCUUCCUAGGCUCUACGAUUUAUCUAUAUACACCAUGUAUGUCAAUGAACGCAAUCAAUGGGCCUUUAAAAGCCUAUAAACAUAUAAUACAACUUUCAGCAGCGGAUCUCUUGGCUCUCGCAUCGAUGAAGAACGCAGCGAAAUGCGAUAAGUAAUGUGAAUUGCAGAAUUCAGUGAAUCAUCGAAUCUUUGAACGCACUUUGCGCUCCUUGGUAUUCCGAGGAGCAUGCCUGUUUGAGUGUCAUUAAAUUCUCAAUCUCUACAACUUUGUGUUGUCUAGAUCGGAAGUGGGGGUUUGUUGUGUGGAAUCUAAUUCCUCACUCCCCUUAAAUGCAUUAGCUGGAAUGCCUCUGCAUAUCUGACUAUCAGUGUGAUAAUUAUCUAUGCUGUAGUUGUUGCAUGAGGGUAUCUGCUUCAUAAAUCGUCGCAAGACAAUUCUAUAUGACCAUCUUGACCUCAAAUCAGGUAGGACUACCCGCUGAACUUAAGCAUAUCAAUAAGCGGAGGAAAAGAAACUAACAAGGAUUCCCCUAGUAACUGCGAGUGAAGCGGGAAAAGCUCAAAUUUAAAAUCUGGCGGUCUUUGGUCGUCCGAGUUGUAAUCUAGAGAAGUGUUAUCCGCGUUGGACCGUGUACAAGUCUCCUGGAAUGGAGCAUCAUAGAGGGUGAGAAUCCCGUCUUUGACACGGACUACCAGUGCUUUGUGAUGCGCUCUCAAAGAGUCGAGUUGUUUGGGAAU